GAUGUUUAUGGUGCAAAACCU
rnacentral:siRNA from 1 species